UGCACGUGAUGCCAUUCUCACGAUGGUCUUCCAAGUCUCAUGGUGAAGGGGCUUUGACGACAGUGCCACACGGCUUUGCUGAUGCUUGGUG